GUGGGGAAUCUUGCGCAAUGGGCGAAAGCCUGACGCAGCCAUGCCGCGUGAAUGAUGAAGGUCUUAGGAUUGUAAAAUUCUUUCACCGGGGACGAUAAUGACGGUACCCGGAGAAGAAGCUCCGGCUAACUUCGUGCCAGCAGCCGCGGUAAUACGAAGGGGGCUAGCGUUGCUCGGAAUUACUGGGCGUAAAGGGCGCGUAGGCGGACAGCUUAGUCAGAGGUGAAAGCCCAGGGCUCAACCUUGGAAUUGCCUUUGAUACUGGCUGUCUUGAGUUUGGGAGAGGUGAGUGGAACUCCGAGUGUAGAGGUGAAAUUCGUAGAUAUUCGGAAGAACACCAGUGGCGAAGGCGACAUACUGGCUCAUUACUGACGCUGAGGCGCGAAAGCGUGGGGAGCAAACAGGAUUAGAAACCCCAGUAGUCC
rnacentral:rRNA from 1 species